rnacentral:misc_RNA from 1 species
AGAGGACGCUCCUUCAGACCUCA